UACGGAGGAUGCAAGCGUUAUCCGGAUUCAUUGGGUUUAAAGGGUGCGUAGGCGGGUUGAUAAGUCAGUGGUGAAAUCCUGCAGCUUAACUGUAGAACUGCCAUUGAUACUGUUAACCUUGAAUGCAGUUGAGGUAGGCGGAAUGUGUAAUGUAGCGGUGAAAUGCGUAGAUAUUACACAGAACACCGAUUGCGAAGGCAGCUUGCUAAACUGUGAUUGACGCUGAGGCACGAAAGCGUGGGGAUCAAACAGG
rnacentral:rRNA from 1 species